UACGUAGGGUGCAAACGUUGCUCGGAAUCACUGGGCGUAAAGGGCGCGUAGGCGGAUAGAUAAGUCGGGCGUGAAAUCCCUAGGCUCAACCUAGGAACUGCACUCGAAACUGUUUGUCUUGAGUACCGGAGAGGAAAGCGGAAUACCUGGUGUAGAGGUGAAAUUCGUAGAUAUCAGGUGGAACACCAGUGGCGAAGGCGGCUUUCUGGACGGUAACUGACGCUGAGGCGCGAAAGCGUGGGGAGCAAACAGG
rnacentral:rRNA from 1 species